GACGAACUGUCCUAACGUUGUUCGGAAUCACUGGGCUUAAAGGGCGCGUAGGCGGUCCGUCAAGUCAGGGGUGAAAUCCUGCAGCUUAACUGUAGAAGUGCCUCUGAUACUGACGGUCUUGAGGGAGAUAGGGGUGUGCGGAACUUCCAGUGGAGCGGUGAAAUGCGUUGAUAUUGGAAGGAACGCCGGAGGCGAAAGCGGCGCACUGGAUCUCUUCUGACGCUGAGGCGCGAAAGCUAGGGGAGCAAACGGG
rnacentral:rRNA from 1 species